GGCAGGAAUGAUGAGUCUCUUCUUGCUGAGGUCUGGGGCCUCAGCUGGGAAUACUCAAGGGUUGAUGAGUUGCGGGCUGGAGUCACCUGGAGGAGUCUUCACUUACUUCUGGUAGUUGGUUUUGUCUGUUAUCUGGCAUCUCAGCAGGGACUGCCCAUUGGCCUCCCCAUGUGGCCUAAGUGUCCCCACAGCAUGAUGGCUAGCAGGUAGCUGGGCUUUGAUGAAGGCUCAGGGUCCAAGGGCUGAAAGGCUCUGCUGUCUCAGUCUGGCUGGACACCAGGGGCACUGCAGGUGGACAGGCUGGACUUCUCACCCCAUGUUGCCGUUUUCUGCAUGACCGUGGCCGGUGAGACACCCUCUGUGUCUGGAGCGAGUGACAGCCACCCAGCUGCUCUUUUGCAGUAAAGGUCACGAUGCCCCGUGGCAUGGGAGGUUUCUGCUAGUCACGAGGAGCAGUCAUCACCAUGAAGGAUUUUAGUGCUUCUCUAGAUGUGAGGAGAUACAAGAAUUGGGCUCAUAAAAUCAGAUCCCGAAAACAUCUAAAUCUCUGAAGACCUGUCCUGCCAGCGUUCCCAGAGCACAGAGAGCCUCGUUUCUGCUUUCCACCCUGAACUCUUCUUAGGGGAGGUUGAAGGUCAGCAGCUGCAGCCGCACCCGAUUUGGUCCUCGCAGAGGGAGAUGGCAAGUGCCAGCUUGCAGUGGCAUUACCCAGGCUAUGAGGCCCCUGUGUUAGUCCAGCACUUCUGUGAAGGUGACGACACAGCGGGGAAGGAGAGACAGGACAACCGCAGACCCUUUUCUUUUUGUCCUUGCUUACUCCGCAGUAAGGCCCAGGACAGAGUGUGGGCAGAAUGUCAAGGACUGAAACGAAACCGCUUGAGUUUUGUGCAGCGCCCCCACUGUUCUGUUAAGGACUCAGCCACCUAGGCACAGGCAAAGUACAAAAUAACUAAGUGUGCAAUUUCGAUGAUCCCACAUACGCGUUCUUACAUUUGUGUUUAAAACUGGCAUUGCACAGUUUUAUAAUGAUGAAUGGUAAUAUUCAUGUUGGUAAUUUAAAAAUUUUAAUUAUUCUGUACUUAGAACAGCAUUAAAGAGCAAAUAAAAAACAUCAUGACAAGUCGAAAGAGAGAGACACAGAAAUAUAUGUGAGACGUAGGAGGGAAAUUUGUGUUUUAGUAAAUAGAAUGACGUUUUCCCUCUGGUUUUUGAACAAGGAGUCCCACAUUUUUAUUUUGAACAAGGGGCCCCACAAUUAUGAAGACAUCCCUGGGAGAGGAAAAGAGGACUGAGGACAUGGGAGGCCCAGGAGGAUCCCAGAGUGGUUCGAGGCUGAGCCAGGAGUAGAGGCGGGUCUCUGAUGGAGUCCGUACGCCAGAUCUGCAGUGAUGCUGCUGGUGGUGGUGAUGAAGAGGAUGAUGGUGAUAGACUAACAUGGAGCUGAAGAGAAGCUCAUUCAUCUUCAUCGGAAUCCUACCAGCUCUGGCGUCUUGGCAGGCCACACCUGGGAUCAACUCUUGCCUUGUGGAGGCCAAAGGUGCCUCUUUCCCAGGACCCCAUGUCUGUGGCCUGGGCUCCGUGCAGGAGGUGGGCUGGUCCCAUUGUUCACAAGGGUGCACAUGGCUGUCUGGUUGGGAUUCUCCAACGCGAGGAGGGAGCCCCGGCAGCAGCUCUUGGAGGGGGCACGGGAUGUUGCCCUCCCUGUGAAGACCCUCUGGUGGCAAGAGGUUGCCCACAGCUCUCUAAGGUGCUCACUGUGUGAGGGCGACUGGGGUCCAAUCCAGGGGGCUGAUGAUUUCCCCAGAGCUCCUCCCAGACAGAGACCCAGGGGCCAAGUCCAGGGCCAAAUGCUGGGAUCUGAACGCAGCUUGUCUGGCUCCCGAAUCUAAGCUCUGGAAAGAUAGGAGACGUUGUGGCAUCUGGGGGAGGAGGGCAUUCAGGGUGACUUUGCCUUCUCAGACUUCUCCCAACAGCCCGGCCUCUGUCGGGCUUUGCCCCACAGCCAGCACCAUCGGGGGCCGGAGCAGUUCUUACUGUGCAUUUGGGACCUGGGACCUGGAGCGUGGGCUACGAGGACUGGAGAGCCCUUCCCACAAGGUGAAAACAGCCUCCACCCUUUUCUAUAACCUCCCAUGAGACCAGCCCCGCCCAGGGCUCCCAGCCAGGGCGGGAGACUUAACGAGUAGCUUAGACUUAAUGGGAUCAUCCACAAGGGGAGUGAGAAAUGACAUAAACCCAGUGAAUUGGCUUCCUUUUCUGGAGAACAUGAGGUGAAGUUACAUCUCUUUAUUUAUUUGGCCUCAACAGGUCUUAGCUGUGGCAUGUGGGAUCUUGAGUUGCAGCGUGCAAACUCAGUUGUGGCAUGCGGGAUCUAGCUCCCCGGCCAGGGAUCGAACCGGAGACCCUGCAUUGGGAGUACAGAGUCUUAGCCACUGGGCCACCAGGGAAGUCCCUACGAGCUGGAAUUGAUGGUCUCCUGACCCUGUGCCUGGAUGACCCUCACAAAGUUGAUUCCCUCAGGCUUGGCCAAGAGGCCAAGUUUCCAGGUUAAUCUAGGUUAGAAGGCAUUCAAUCUCUCCUGCCUGCAGCCAGGGUAGGGCCGUGGGGAUUACCUGCCAGAGGCAGCCCCUGACUCCUCAGGGCACUUGGGUGGGAGGGAGAGGACCCCCAAAUGGGCCUGCUGGGAGGGCCCCGGGGUGUCACCUCUCUUGGCCGAGCGGCCUUUGCUGGCAGCACGGGGGUGGGGUUGGGGGGUUCACCUCCCCAGUCACAACUUUCUGCAGCACCGAUUUACCAGGUACAUGAAUCUACAAGGUGGUAACGAAUUUCAAACCCCAUUCGAUUAAAACAAACUAAAAUAUUAUGAAUUAAACAUAGAGUCUGCAUGAACUCUGAAGAUCAAACAGGAGAUACUGCAGACAUUUCACAGUUUUGGAGAGCCUCUCUGAGUUACUGCUCCCAGGAGCCCAAAUUCAAGUUUAUCGUCCUCAGCUGGGCCUCCCCCAGGGCCAGCGGGAAGGUUGGUAAUGAUUGCUAGCUCCUGCCGGCACUCUCGAGUUUGCACGGGCUUGU